CCCUCCGCCCGUGACACGGACUGCGAGCGGGAGCCGGGGCUUCAGCCGCAACCCUCCGGCAGCGCCGGCUGAGGAGCACGAAAGAGCAGUGCCCGUGGCGGGCAGCUGCCAAACGCUGUCUGGCUCCAGCAUCCAAACACCGGCUCCAGCGUCCAUCCCUUUUCCAAACCGCGCCACAGCCCCGAGGAAUCCCCGGGGGAUAAGAAGCCAAGUGACAGAUUCAACAUUCAACAGCCAGAAAAUGAUACCUGAUCAAGGAAAAUCCUUGCCAGGGGAGCACAGUCAGUGGAUUUGAGGAAUCGUACCACAUCAGCCACGCUCCAUUCCAGAGGGUUACUGUCCAGCUGCAGCUUUUCAGCAACUUCCAUCUUUAUGUCCUAGACAAGCCAAAACAAUUCCCAAAAUAUCACAUGCUUGGCCUUUAUUACAGUCCUAUGACCCAACCAUAACAAACAUCAGGGAUUUUAAUUAUUCUGUAGAGUUUUCACAACACCCUUCACGGGGAAACAGAGAACACACAUAUUGUGGUUAAUACCCCCAAGAUUUUGGUGCUUGCCCAGCAGGCAGCAAGCCAGGGCAGAAAUCUACAUUCCAAGCUACCUUUGGCGAAGGAGGUUUAUUUUCAUCAUCAGAAAAGGAGAAGGUCCUGAGCUUCCUCUUCCGCUUGUCUCGGUCCUGAGCCAGGGAAUGAGACAGUUCACUCUGGGUGGGAGAUGAUGAUAGGGAUUUCUUCUCUGACACCUCUGAUUCUUCAAGCAGCUCAUCUUGGUGCUCUGAGGUGCUGUCCUCAGUCAGAGACUCUUCAUCCACCUCGUCCUGGUCAUCCUCCUCCUCUGCCCCACUGCCCUGAAGAGUUUGGAGAAAAGAAAGAAAGAAGGCAGCUGUAACCCUGAAGUUGCAAGGAACUAACAUUUGCUGUUUCAAAUGAAGCAGUCAAAGAUCACAUCCCAGAUCCAUGAGCACUGUCCUACCUGGGGAGAUCCAGCUGGAGUGUUAUCCACAGACGUGGAAGAACGUUUUUUCUUAUGAACAAAGAAAUGUUUUCGUCUCUUCCGUCUUUUAUUUGGUUUCUUCAUGGCUACUUCCAGGUUGCUGUGGCCACCCGGGGGCCGCCCUAUCCGCUUGUUUUUCCGCUUUCCAUAAUAGUGUGCUGCCAGGACAGAAGGAAGGAGCACACUGUUGAAAUGCACCUUCAGUGUCACUAGUUAUGCUUGCCCCUCAUCAGGACUGGAAAAUCAGUAGAAGGACAUUUCCCAAUAGGAAUCCCAGUUCUGCAAAUCUUCAAAAUCACUAUGUCUCCAUCUUCCACUUCAAUUUGGUUUAAGGAACAAGAGUUACUGAUCAGUUUUGUUUGCCCUGUAAAGAUUUACUUCCUCCAUCUCUGGGAAGCCCCCAGAUGAUCCUAUUUUAUACAAAACUUAUCAAGGAUUUGGUCCAAUUUAAUGGUGCUUUUUAUGAUGAUUUGUAGUUUUUAAACAUAGCCUCAAUGCACUGUUCGUUCUCGCAGUGUCAAAUGGUUAAAGCCAGUCUACAAAAACCCUAAAAACUAAGAAUAGAGCUUGAGGGUGUUGCAUGUUUUUCCCCAUGACAAAUCAAUAAAAGGAAUUAUAAUGCCAUGAA